CAGGCCAACAUGGAAUCGAUCACUUUUGGUAAGAGGAGAUCGCAUUCUACUUACUCUAAUCGAUUGAUGAUUCAGAAAGUCUUUGAUCAAAGUGGGAUAAAAAUUAAAAAAAAUUUCUAAUAUUUUAUUAAUCAAAUCAUGAUUAAAGAUUAAGAAAAAUAUGAAUAUGAUAUUGAAUUUGAUAUCAUUUCAUAUCCAGAGUCAUAUUCGGGAUGCAGGAUGAUCGGAAGAUCGAAUUAUAUGGUAACUUUUCACUGAAGGAUAUUUUUGAUAUUUUUAUCAAAAUUUUAUAUCUUUUAGAUAGACACGAUAUAU
rnacentral:lncRNA from 1 species